AGUGUUACGCCGGGUUGAACGGGAAUCAUUGAUGUUGAUUAAUAGAGGAAGAUGUAUCUCCUUAGCACUA
rnacentral:tRNA from 1 species